CUCCUUUGACGUUAGCGGCGGACGGGUGAGUAACACGUGGGUAACCUACCUAUAAGACUGGGAUAACUUCGGGAAACCGGAGCUAAUACCGUAUAAUAUUUCGAACCGCAUGGUUCGAUAGUGAAAGGUGGUUUUGCUAUCACUUAUAGAUGGACCCGCGCCGUAUUAGCUAGUUGGUAAGGUAACGGCUUACCAAGGCGACGAUACGUAGCCGACCUGAGAGGGUGAUCGGCCACACUGGAACUGAGACACGGUCCAGACUCCUACGGGAGGCAGCAGCC
rnacentral:rRNA from 1 species